CUUAGGCGUGUGACUGCGUACCUUUUGUAUAAUGGGUCAGCGACUUAUAUUCUGUAGCAAGGUUAACCGAAUAGGGGAGCCGAAGGGAAACCGAGUCUUAACUGGGCGUUAAGUUGCAGGGUAUAGACCCGAAACCCGGUGAUCUAGCCAUGGGCAGGUUGAAGGUUGGGUAACACUAACUGGAGGACCGAACCGACUAAUGUUGAAAAAUUAGCGGAUGACUUGUGGCUGGGGGUGAAAGGCCAAUCAAACCGGGAGAUAGCUGGUUCUCCCCGAAAGCUAUUUAGGUAGCGCCUCGUGAAUUCAUCUCCGGGGGUAGAGCACUGUUUCGGCAAGGGGGUCAUCCCGACUUACCAACCCGAUGCAAACUGCGAAUACCGGAGAAUGUUAUCACGGGAGACACACGGCGGGUGCUAACGUCCGUCGUGAAGAGGGAAACAACCCAGACCGCCAGCUAAGGUCCCAAAGUCAUGGUUAAGUGGGAAACGAUGUGGGAAGGCCCAGACAGCCAGGAUGUUGGCUUAGAAGCAGCCAUCAUUUAAAGAAAGCGUAAUAGCUCACUGGUCGAGUCGGCCUGCGCGGAAGAUGUAACGGGGCUAAACCAUGCACCGAAGCUGCGGCAGCGACGCUUAUGCGUUGUUGGGUAGGGGAGCGUUCUGUAAGCCUGCGAAGGUGUGCUGUGAGGCAUGCUGGAGGUAUCAGAAGUGCGAAUGCUGACAUAAGUAACGAUAAAGCGGGUGAAAAGCCCGCUCGCCGGAAGACCAAGGGUUCCUGUCCAACGUUAAUCGGGGCAGGGUGAGUCGACCCCUAAGGCGAGGCCGAAAGGCGUAGUCGAUGGGAAACAGGUUAAUAUUCCUGUACUUGGUGUUACUGCGAAGGGGGGACGGAGAAGGCUAUGUUGGCCGGGCGACGGUUGUCCCGGUUUAAGCGUGUAGGCUGGUUUUCCAGGCAAAUCCGGAAAAUCAAGGCUGAGGCGUGAUGACGAGGCACUACGGUGCUGAAGCAACAAAUGCCCUGCUUCCAGGAAAAGCCUCUAAGCAUCAGGUAACAUCAAAUCGUACCCCAAACCGACACAGGUGGUCAGGUAGAGAAUACCAAGGCGCUUGAGAGAACUCGGGUGAAGGAACUAGGCAAAAUGGUGCCGUAACUUCGGGAGAAGGCACGCUGAUAUGUAGGUGAAGUCCCUCGCGGAUGGAGCUGAAAUCAGUCGAAGAUACCAGCUGGCUGCAACUGUUUAUUAAAAACACAGCACUGUGCAAACACGAAAGUGGACGUAUACGGUGUGACGCCUGCCCGGUGC
rnacentral:rRNA from 1 species